UUGUUUAUAUUUGAAUGUCAAACUAUUUCAAAAGCUAAUAAAAAAAAGUAAAUAAAAAGUAUUUUAAUCAGGCACACAGAGGGCACCUCACAUGUAGGGUCCUACUGAAAGGGCCUUAGAGCGAGGACACCGAAGCGGGAAGAUCAAAGCGCGAUGUUGCCACUGGUAAUAGAAUGGACUCUAACAAUCAGCCCUACAAAAGGCUCGUCAUAGAGGGCUCAGAACAGCUGGCUCCCGACCAGCCCAGGCCUCCAGGUAGUGGACCUGCUUAUGGACUAGCAGACAUGUCCCAGUCACGAGCAGAUGGACCAAAACAGCCAUAUCUAAAGGUUUACCCUUGGACUGUGUACAACGGCAGGAGAUGGGGCUUCAACUACAUGAUUCUCCAUUCAUGAGUGGUUGGAGUAUAAUAAUUUCCAUGUUUACUGCUUGUUGGUCACGCAGAUCCCUGAGUGAGUGAG